AGUCUGUUGAUUUCUAGGCUAAAGAGUUUAAGACAACACAGCCUAAAACUUUUGGUCUAUAAGAACAUAUUUAAUAUUCUAUUCCUUUAAGGACAACCAUUUAGCAAACAUUCAUUGAUUAUCUAUUAUGUGCUAAGAUGCCAUGAAUACAAUAACCAUGAAGAGGGACCUCUUCUGAAUCCAUUCAGAAGAUAAAAAUGCAAGCCAAUGAUUAGAGACAGCACUUUGGUGACAGACUCCAGAAGGGACCUUCAUUGUCUAGAAGGACUCAUCCACCUAGAGGAACUGGUGCCUUACUGUCCAGGUUUUGAAGAUUCCUUAUAGAAUAAAAGGAGCACAAUGCUAAAUUCUAAUCAGAACUUCAUAACACUCCUAUUUGGCUGUUCUACCAAUGAGAAAUGGCACACAUAUUUUCACAGUUCAAAGUGAAAAUGUUUAUGAUGAUCACUACACCCCAGGGAUAUAAGCAUGUGAUAUGACAGGAAAAGCCACAGGGUGCACCCUAAUACACACCACAAACUCAAACAUGGGAGGUGUGUUCCUACAUAAAAUGUUUGCAUUUGCAGAGCUUCCUCCAGGAUUGCUUUUCUGGGCAUAGCCACAUGAGUAAAUUGUUCAUCUCCUUUAA